AAUGAAAUGGAUGAGCUGGAGAGUGAGUCUGGGGCUGGGGAAUGAAAUGGAUGAGCUGGAGAGUGAGUCUGGGGCUGGGGAAUGAAAUGGAUGAGCUGGAGAGCGAGUCUGGGGCUGGGGAAUGAUGAGCCGUGGGGGAGGAUGACGUCUGUUGGUGUGGGAGCUCUGGGGUUCCUCCAUGGAAAACCACUGAGCUUUCUGCUGAUGCUGCCUGACUCAUCCCCAGUGGGCUGGAUGAGCAACACUGCGGGGAUGACCGCUGGAUCCUGGCCCAGGACCUGCCAACAUCUGCCAGGGCUCCUUCUGCCGGGCUGGCUGCUGCACGACUGUGGGAGGCUUGGGAUAAGUGGGAGCUCAGAGGGACCCAAUUCCAUGUAAUAAUCCUGAGAGUCCUCGUGACUGUGCCCAGACAGCCUUUUGUGAUCUUUGGCCCAAGAAAGAAGCUCAGUUGCCUUUUUCCAAGCAUUCCUGGUACCAGGGGAAGAGCAGAUGGACUGUCUAAGCAGGAGGGAGGACCUGGCACCCCGUGCCACGCGCACGGUCGGUCCCUGCUCCUGCAAUGUGCCCAUGGGGUGCCUGUGGCCGGGGCCAGGGACUGAUGCUUUGUGUGUGCAGGUGCCAGCACGUCCCCGGGAAGCAGCCUCAACUCCAGCGAGGAGCACCUCAACGCCCCAGCCGACACUUACCCCACCAAAGCUAAGCUUGGUGACACGCAGGAGCUGGAGGAGUUCAUCGCGGACCUGGAUAAAGCCUUGGAGGGCUCUUUCAGCUGGGGCAGAAAUACAAAGGCUUAAGUGUGUUCCCUGUCUGCUGCCUCAGCUUCCCCCAGCUGAUGAGCUGGAGGUGCUGGGACCUGGGGAAGGGACUGAGGAUAUGAAGGCCAUGUUGGUCCUGGCAAUGAUACCCAACAGGACAACCUGCAGAGCUGUUGAUGUUUUUGGGAAGAUGCAGAGGUGCCUGUGGCUCUCUGCCUGCAGCCUCCCUCCAGCUCCUGCUUGGAGGCUGCUCUUUGCUUGAGGGAGAAAGGUGAG
rnacentral:lncRNA from 1 species